UGCGUAGGCGGCCCUGUAAGUCAGUGGUGAAAUACUCCAGCUUAACUGGAGGGGUGCCAUUGAUACUGCAGGGCUUGAGUUAAGUUGAAGUUGGCGGAAUUGACGGUGUAGCGGUGAAAUGCUUAGAUAUCGUCAAGAACACCGAUAGUGAAGACAGCUAACUAAACUUUUACUGACGCUGAGGCACGAAAGUGUGGGGAUCAACA
rnacentral:rRNA from 1 species